UACGGGGGGGGCAAGCGUUGUUCGGAAUUACUGGGCGUAAAGGGCUCGUAGGCGGCCAACUAAGUCAGACGUGAAAUCCCUCGGCUUAACCGGGGAACUGCGUCUGAUACUGGAUGGCUUGAGUUUUGGGAGAGGGAUGCGGAAUUCCAGGUGUAGCGGUGAAAUGCGCAGAUAUCAGGAAGAACACCCGUGGCGAAGGCGGCUCUCUGGGACGGUACUGACGCUGAGACGCGAAAGCGUGGGGAGCGAACAGG
rnacentral:rRNA from 1 species